UGAGAACUGAAAUGAAAAUAUUGUUUGAACUAUUUUAUCUUUUUUUUUCAGAUUAUAGUAGAAUAUGAAGGAACAUUAUUUUCUGAGUGGAAAGUGUCAGCAAGUUGUUUUUUAAAAAGUAAGAGCUCAGCCAAGACAGAAUUGCGGUGUACUUCUCCUGGCGUUCAUACUGUACAACCAAUUGUUACAGGCCCAGUAAGUUGAUUUUAAUUAUAACUUCUUAAAUCUUGAAUAAUUUUCCCUGUAACAUUUUUCUUUAGGAGGUACCAGAGAUUGAACCUGAGACCUUGAACAUGCAAAGCAGGCACUCAACCACUGAGCUACACCCACUCCACCCU
rnacentral:lncRNA from 1 species